CACGUUAUGGUGGGCACUCUAAGGAGACUGCCGGUGACAAACCGGAGGAAGGUGGGGAUGACGUCAAGUCAUCAUGGCCCUUACGGCCUGGGCUACACACGUGCUACAAUGGUCGGUACAAAGGGUUGCCAAGCCGCGAGGUGGAGCUAAUCCCAUAAAACCGAUCGUAGUCCGGAUCGCAGUCUGCAACUCGACUGCGUGAAGUCGGAAUCGCUAGUAAUCGUGAAUCAGAAUGUCACGGUGAAUACGUUCCCGGGCCUU
rnacentral:rRNA from 1 species